UAGGGAACCCUGCAACAAGGACUGUAGUGUGAAUAGCGUGCUGCGCUGCUCUCGCCAACUGAAAAGAACUCUGGUGUGCUGUAAAUGCCGACUGCACAAUAUGUGACUGGCCCGCGGCUGCUUUGAAGGUAAGAUUGUGUUCUCAUUAAUCUAUUUAUUGUACCAUUUGUUUUCCAGUGACAUAGCCAACAACGAAAACCUCGAUCCAUCCUCUCUCCACAUAUUAUCUAGUUUGUGCGCUGUGGAGCUUGAAGCACUUCUCGGAAUUUCAGCACACUCGCAUUUAUUUUUUUCCCGACAGAAGAAAAAUGCAAGUCUAACAUCUCGACGGUAAAACGUCGCAUCUGCGCACGUGUUCAGGGCCAAGAGCACGAGAAGUGGCCGAAAGAAGGGAGCCGAUCCAACAGGAAUGCCGUCCGUCUUUAUAUUUAUAUAUGUCAGCGUUAUCAUGCCGUGAUCACAUGGACUGUACGGUUGCGUUGCACAAGGGCUGAUGCAAACGCUCCGUGCGAACAAUGUUGCUUGGAAAAUUAGUGCAUCUAUACAAUUGCAAAAUAAAGAUCUAAAGAGAGAAAACUUAUAUUCACGUCUUUCU